rnacentral:rRNA from 1 species
AACGAACGCUGGCGGCAUGCCUAACACAUGCAAGUCGAACGAGACCUUCGGGUCUAGUGGCGCACGGGUGCGUAACGCGUGGGAACCUGCCCUUAGGUUCGGAAUAACUCCCCGAAAGGGGUUCUAAUACCGGAUAAUGUCUUCGGACCAAAGAUUUAUCGCCUUUGGAUGGGCCCGCGUUGGAUUAUCUAGUUGGUAGGGUAAAAGCCUACCAAGGCGACGAUCCAUAGCUGGUCUGAGAGGAUGAUCAGCCACACUGGGACUGAGACACGGCCCAGACUCAUACGGGAGGCAGCAGUGGGGAAUAUUGGACAAUGGGCGAAAGACUGAUCCAGCAAUGCCGCGGGAGUGAUGAAGGCCUUAGGGUUGUAAAGCUCUUUUAACCGGGAUGAUAAUGACAGUACCGGGAGAAUAAGCUCCGGCUAACUCCGUG